CUCUGCCACCACCGUUUCAUUAUCAUCUUCCCCUCUCUCCCUCUUUUCGCAUACCUUUCAGAAGGGCUCAUACUAAAUCAUGUGGAUCCGAAAAUGGAAACCCAGGACCAGGAGCAGAAUGUUCGUCGAUUAUCAGUUCAGUAAGAGGAAACAAAUGAAAACCCAGUAAUUUCUUACGGAUACGACAAUGGCUGAGUUUUUCUCAUCUCAGGAGUUUUGUUCUCUACAGCAAAGCAUCCAAAAACUAAGAAUUUAAUGGUGAUUUUAUCUCUUAAAGUGAUACGAUUUUGUUAAUACCAGUACUCUCUGCUAAUACUUUUCAAUUGCAGCCAAAAGAUUUAUGGAUUAGGACACCUUAGAAAGGAAUAGUGAUUUUUGCUCUGCCAUAAGAAACUGGUAUUGGGGAAUUGGGGAGUGACUUCAAAAUCCAUUUCCACAACCCCCGAGGAGAUUUCUACUGUUCUGUAAUGUUUCUGUGUUUUAUAUCUUAAAAUAACUUUGCCCAAUUGAUACUUCUUGUUUUCCCUUCUCUGUUGGUUAAAUACAACAAUGAUAAAUAACAGAAUGAUACUGGAAGCCUCUGAUAUUGAUGGUUUUAAUAAGGUAAAUGACAUAAGGAUACCUGUUUCUUCAGUUUGCUAAUAGUUUCUUGUAUACCUUUUUGUUUCUCUUUCACUUUGCCUUUCAUUUGUUUCCUCUCAGAAGGGCUCAUACUAAAUCAUGUGGAUCCGAAAAUGGAAACCUAGGACCACCGUUUAACCUGGACUUGACUCUAAAGAUUGGAUUCUGGUUGUUGAAACACUCAAUAAUGUUCGUCGAUUAUCAGUAUUCCAUAAGGAAAGAAUGCAUAGUAUGCUGGUGUUGAGGGAAUUAAAUAAUAUGGAAUUGACAAAUUGAUACAAGUAGCUGCAUCCCAACUAAGCGACCAGCUCCCAGAGUCACAGGAAGCUGCUCGAACCCUUCUUUUGGAGCUGCAAAUUGUAUAUGAGAAGUCCCACGGUCUCUCAACUGUAGUAUCUGAGAAUCCAGAGAUGGGCUCUUGGGAGAACUUUUGUCUGUCAAAGUUCUCUCCUUUAAGUGCGCAAGCAGUGCUUCGUGUGACAACAAACAUCGCUCGGGAAGGUCUCGUUAUUGGUUCAUAACGAUAUUAAAGGUGUAGCAGUGGAUUCAAUCUCUUCAAGCUGGAAAAGCCAAGGCUUAGCACUUCUUCAAGUGGAAUGUUAUUUAAUGUUGCAUUCCAUGGUCGUUUAUCUUAGUUAGAACUGGAAUUUGGUGUUAUUGAAACAGAGUUUUGUAGCUACCUUGUGUACUAUUUUCUUUAACCAUGAUUGUUAAUUAUUACGUGUUUUGUAGCUUUUUUUAUAAUUGGCCGAGUUAAUAUAGAUCAGAUGAG